rnacentral:rRNA from 1 species
AUGGCUGUCGUCAGCUCGUGUCGUGAGAUGUUCGGUUAAGUCCGGCAACGAGCGCAACCCUUAUCCUUAGUUGCCAGCGGGUAAUGCCGGGGACUCUAGGGAGACAAACUCCUUUUGGAGUGGGAAGGUGGGGAUGACGUCAAGUCAGUAUGGCCCUUACGGCCAGGGCUGCACGCGUGCUACAAUGCUCGGUACAAUAGGAAGCAAUACCGCGAGGUGGAGCAAAUCAUCAAAGCCGAGCCCAGUUCGGAUUGAAGUCUGCAAUUCGACUUCAUGAAGUAGGAAUCGCUAGUAAUGGCGCAUCAGCAAUGGCGCCGUGAAUACGUUCCCGGGCCUUGUACACACCGCCCGUGGGGCGGGGGCGGCGGGCCGGGCGCGGGGCGCGGCCGGGCG